rnacentral:rRNA from 1 species
GGUGAACGCUGGCGGCGUGCCUAAUACAUGCAAGUCGAGCGAACAGACGAGGAGCUUGCUCCUCUGACGUUAGCGGCGGACGGGUGAGUAACACGUGGAUAACCUACCUAUAAGACUGGGAUAACUUCGGGAAACCGGAGCUAAUACCGGAUAAUAUAUUGAACCGCAUGGUUCCAUAGUGAAAGACGGUUUUGCUGUCACUUAUAGAUGGAUCCGCGCCGCAUUAGCUAGUUGGUAAGGUAACGGCUUACCAAGGCAACGAUGCGUAGCCGACCUGAGAGGGUGAUCGGCCACACUGGAACUGAGACACGGUCCAGACUCCUACGGGAGGCAGCAGUAGGGAAUCUUCCGCAAUGGGCGAAAGCCUGACGGAGCAACGCCGCGUGAGUGAUGAAGGUCUUCGGAUCGUAAAACUCUGUUAUUAGGGAAGAACAAAUGUGUAAGUAACUAUGCACGUCUUGACGGUACCUAAUCAGAAAGCCACGGCUAACUACGUG